rnacentral:lncRNA from 1 species
GGCUGCAGGCUCUCUGCUUCCCUUCUCCACCCACAGGCCUCUCUAAAAUCCUUUCAGCAGCUUCCAAUUCUAAACCUUCUCAUAGUCUCAACCUUCCCUGUGUCAGAAUGGGGAAGCAGGCAUGAAGAGGCAGGCUGAUUUUGUUUGUUUUCGGUUUAUGUCCAAACUUGGACAUCUCAUUUCUGAGAGAAGUGAGAAAGGCACUUGAUAAGCUGUCUGCAGCAGUUUCUCCUGAGGGGUCUGCCAAAAACUGCAUUGGAUUUCAAGGUCUGGUGUGCUUCGCCUCUUCAGGUCUGUUACAUUUCCCAGAAUGGUUCCCAGCGCUGGAGAUAAUUCCUUUUCGGAGAACCUACAUUUCUCACCUGCUGAUUGCAAUUAGCCACUGCCAGCUGGGGCCUGGUGUGCAGCUGAAAAGCUAACAAGAAGGGGAGACCACGCGGAACCCAGACAGGGCAGAGGAGGUGCAUAAAUAAGGAAUGGUGCCCAUGUUCAUGAGGGGCUCCUGUGAAUUUGAGGCUUCCUGACCCUCUACAUAGUCCUCCCUCUUCUGACUCUGUCCUGCCUACCCCUCCCCCCUCUUUUGUCUCUGGGUUUGUAGCCUACACUUUACAUCACAGUCACGAUUUUACCACUAAGUACAUUUUGUUAGGCAAUAAAGAGCCUUGGGAGAAAAAUGAAAUCCGACUAGGACUUCUGUUCCAAUAAUGUUUGUGAUCUGUGGUGGAUUCAGG